rnacentral:rRNA from 1 species
UACGGAGGGUGCGAGCGUUAUCCGGAUUCACUGGGUUUAAAGGGUGCGUAGGUGGGCAGGUAAGUCAGUGGUGAAAUCUCCGGGCUUAACCCGGAAACUGCCAUUGAUACUAUCAGUCUUGAGUACCGUGGAGGUAAGCGGAAUAUGUCAUGUAGCGGUGAAAUGCUUAGAUAUGACAUAGAACACCAAUUGCGAAGGCAGCUUACUACCCGAAUAUUGACACUGAGGCACGAAAGCGUGGGGAUCAAACAGG